rnacentral:rRNA from 1 species
GUUGCUGCUUCGCUGACGAGUGGCGGACGGGUGAGUAAUGUCUGGGAAACUGCCUGAUGGAGGGGGAUAACUACUGGAAACGGUAGCUAAUACCGCAUAACGUCGCAAGACCAAAGAGGGGGACCUUCGGGCCUCUUGCCAUCGGAUGUGCCCAGAUGGGAUUAGCUAGUAGGUGGGGUAACGGCUCACCUAGGCGACGAUCCCUAGCUGGUCUGAGAGGAUGACCAGCCACACUGGAACUGAGACACGGUCCAGACUCCUACGGGAGGCAGCAGUGGGGAAUAUUGCACAAUGGGCGCAAGCCUGAUGCAGCCAUGCCGCGUGUAUGAAGAAGGCCUUCGGGUUGUAAAGUACUUUCAGCGGGGAGGAAGGUGAUGAGGUUAAUAACCUUGUCAAUUGACGUUACCCGCAGAAGAAGCACCGGCUAACUCCGUGCCAGCAGCCGCGGUAAUACGGAGGGUGCAAGCGUUAAUCGGAAUUACUGGGCGUAAAGCGCACGCAGGCGGUCUGUCAAGUCGGAUGUGAAAUCCCCGGGCUCAACCUGGGAACUGCAUUCGAAACUGGCAGGCUAGAGUCUUGUAGAGGGGGGUAG